GGUGCUUCUCUACAUUGACAGAGGGAGUUUUCUCACUCAUGAAUUCCCCCCAAUGAAAAGCACUGGGCCAAUCAUUCUCCCCACUUCCUGUUCACACACUUUACUUCUCAGAACAUCUACUGUCUAGGGAGAAAAGAGCUAGACUUCUGCAUCUUUGUAUUACCAGUACCUACAGCAGUACUCAACUCAUAGUAGAUAUCUAAUGUUGAAUUGAAAUGAAUGGGGAAUCAGGAGACUGAGCAAUGCCUACUUACGCUACCUGAAGCAAUCUGUGUUCUCAAGUUGUUAUCCUGCUCAUCCCAUCCCCAAACAAAAGAACUGAGCAAAUUGAAGGAAGUAAAAGUAAGGAAACAAAUCCAAGGAAGUAGAGAAGUUGUGAGCAACAAGGAUUAUUCCUUUCUCUGUGGUACUUCUAAAUUCCGCAUGCUGGAACAUUCUGGGCCAAGAUAGAUAGAACUAAAUGACAUAGAUUGAAUUUGCCUCAGGAGGCAGAAUCCUAAACUAUAGCUCCGGGGGAGUAAGACACAUUAUCCAGAAGAACACCCGAGUCAUCAAAGAAAAUUUCUACACAUUUUGAAAACUAAGACCCAGCUCAAAGGGAUGACUCCCUGAAACAACAAAAUCAUUGCAAAUGGAAUUUAUCCAAAGACAGUUUCAUCUAGAAUCGCAUCUUCUGUUCUCUCAAGCAAGUGUCAAGACUUUCGUUGCGAUAUGCAUCUUCUUAUAACCUCCUCAAGUUUGUAAGAUAGUCAGUCAAUAAACAUUUAUUAAGU